UACGGAGGGGGCGAGCGUUAUUCGGAAUUAUUGGGCGUAAAGGGCGCGUAGGCGGCUGUACAAGUCAAAGGUGAAAUCCCUCGGCUCAACUGAGGAACUGCCUUUGAAACUGUACGGCUUGAGGCCGGGAGGGGGUAGCGGAAUUCCCAGUGUAGCGGUGAAAUGCGUAGAUACUGGGAGGAACACCAGUGGCGAAGGCGCUACCUGGACCGGUUCUGGACGCUGAGGCGCGAAAGCGUGGGUAGCAAACAGG
rnacentral:rRNA from 1 species